rnacentral:rRNA from 1 species
AUUGAACGCUGGCGGCAGGCCUAACACAUGCAAGUCGAACGAGUGGCGGACGGGUGAGUAAUGUCUGGGAAACUGCCCGAUGGAGGGGGAUAACUACUGGAAACGGUAGCUAAUACCGCAUACCAUCGGAUGUGCCCAGAUGGGAUUAGCUAGUAGGUGGGGUAACGGCUCACCUAGGCGACGAUCCCUAGCUGGUCUGAGAGGAUGACGAGCCACACGGGAACGGAGACACGGUCCAGACUCCUACGGGAGGCAGCAGUGGGGAAUAUUGGACAAUGGGCACAAGCCUGAUGCAGCCAUGCCGCGUGGAUGAAGAAGGCCUGCGGGUUGUAAAGUACUUUCAGCGAGGAGGCGGUACUCGCAGAAUAAGCACCGGCUAACUCCGUGCCAGCAGCCGCGGUAAUUC